AAAACUCAUGAGUUCCCGUUACCUGAUGCCAUACGACCCUUUAACUUCACUAAUAGUUCUGGUCUUAGAUAUGAAGCAAUGGAAGUUAGAGAAUGCCUACAGAAAGGAAAACUGGAGAGUUCUAUUUUACCUCUUAAAGAUUCAGAAACUCAUGCAGAAUUAAUGGA